UGUGAGCUCGAUGAGUAGGGCGGGACACGUGGUAUCCUGUCUGAAUAUGGGGGGACCAUCCUCCAAGGCUAAAUACUCCUGACUGACCGAUAGUGAACCAGUACCGUGAGGGAAAGGCGAAAAGAACCCCGGCGAGGGGAGUGAAAAAGAACCUGAAACCGUGUACGUACAAGCAGUGGGAGCACCCUUUGGGGUGUGACUGCGUACCUUUUGUAUAAUGGGUCAGCGACUUAUAUUCUGUAGCAAGGUUAACCGGAUAGGGGAGCCGGAGGGAAACCGAGUCUUAAUUGGGCGUUAAGUUGCAGGGUAUAGACCCGAAACCCGGUGAUCUAGCCAUGGGCAGGUUGAAGGUUGGGUAACACUAACUGGAGGACCGAACCGACUAAUGUUGAAAAAUUAGCGGAUGACCUGUGGCUGGGGGUGAAAGGCCAAUCAAACCGGGAGAUAGCUGGUUCUCCCCGAAAGCUAUUUAGGUAGCGCCUCGUGAAUUCAUCUCCGGGGGUAGAGCACUGUUUCGGCUAGGGGGCCAUCCCGGCUUACCAACCCGAUGCAAACUGCGAAUACCGGAGAAUGUUAUCAUGGGAGACACACGGCGGGUGCUAACGUCCGUCGUGAAGAGGGAAACAACCCAGACCGCCAGCUAAGGUCCCAAAGUCAUGGUUAAGUGGGAAACGAUGUGGGAAGGCCCAGACAGCCAGGAUGUUGGCUUAGAAGCAGCCAUCAUUUAAAGAAAGCGUAAUAGCUCACUGGUCGAGUCGGCCUGCGCGGAAGAUGUAACGGGGCUAAACCAUGCACCGAAGCUGCGGCAGCGACGCUGAUGCGUUGUUGGGUAGGGGAGCGUUCUGUAAGCCUGCGAAGGUGGCCUGUGAGGGUUGCUGGAGGUAUCAGAAGUGCGAAUGCUGACAUAAGUAACGAUAAAGCGGGUGAAAAGCCCGCUCGCCGGAAGACCAAGGGUUCCUGUCCAACGUUAAUCGGGGCAGGGUGAGUCGACCCCUAAGGCGAGGCCGAAAGGCGUAGUCGAUGGGAAACGGGUUAAUAUUCCCGUACUUGGUGUUACUGCGAAGGGGGGACGGAGAAGGCUAUGUUGGCCGGGCGACGGUUGUCCCGGUUUAAGCGUGUAGGUGUGUGUUCCAGGUAAAUCCGGUUCACUUUAACACUGAGGCGUGA
rnacentral:rRNA from 1 species